GAUGAACGCUGGCGGCGUGCCUAAUACAUGCAAGUCGAGCGAACAGACGAGGAGCUUGCUCCUCUGACGUUAGCGGCGGACGGGUGAGUAACACGUGGAUAACCUACCUAUAAGACUGGGAUAACUUCGGGAAACCGGAGCUAAUACCGGAUAAUAUUUUAAAUCGCAUGGUUCAAUAGUGAAAGACGGUUUUGCUUUCCCUUAUAGAUGGCUCCGCGCCGCAUUAGCUAGUUGGUAAGGUAACGGCUUACCAAGGCAACGAUGCUUAGCCGACCUGGGAGGGGGAUCGGCCAACUGGGAACUGAGACCCGGUCCAAACUCCUAGGGGGGGCAGCAGUGGGGAAUCUUGCGCAAGGGGGGAAAGCCUGACGGGGCAAGCCCGGGGGGGGAAGGAAGGUUUUCGGAUCGUAAAACCCUUUUAAUGAGGAAAAACAAAUGGGGAAGGAAAUGUGCACGUUGUGACGGUACCUUAUCAGAAAGGCACGGCUAACUACGUG
rnacentral:rRNA from 1 species